AAGAAAAAUAUAAAAAAGUUAAUCUUCUUCUUUUUAUGAUACGAUGACAUUCCUCCAUUUCCCCCCCCCCCCUAUUUUAUCUCGAAGCUCAUGAGGCAUAGUACACUGCAGCGUGUAUUCAAGUAGACAGAGUGACACUUGUUUUGUAUAAAGAGGAUGUACAAUCUCCACAGUACCAAGAGUGCAGUAAGUUACAAGUCAUAACAUCAUCCGUUGUUCUAGCUGCACUGUGUUUGCUGUUGGCGGUCACGCACAAUUUUGUAGGAGUUUAAAGUAAUAAAUGUCGAACGCCUAUCGUGUGUGCCUUCUUGGCCUUCCACAACACGUUGAAAUCACAUGUGCUUCUUUGAGUAACACCACAUCGCUGAUGUCAUUAACAAACUUCGCGAAAGUAGUAUUUUCUGGUUCUGGUAGUAAGCCGGUCUCGGAAAUAUAGGCAACGCUGGAGAGACGUACUGGGAUAUUUGAAAAUUUUCCCACUCCAGUCCGGGAUCUUGGCCAUAUGUUGAUUGGUAACUACGUUGCGUAACUAUUCCACAUCAUGCAUCGAGCAACUCGGAAAGUUGACCAGACCCUAGUUUAAAACAUGAAUCGAAAAUUAAACACAGAAUGCAGAGCAAAAGACAAGAAGAUAAACCAGAGCAGAGAAUGCCUACUAUGGCCAAUGGUAUAAGUACCAAAACCCGUAAUAGGAAGGAAGUUUUUCGAGAGACCGAACCCGGAAAGAAGAUCAAAGCAGGAAGUCCAAUUUUAUCCAAACUCGUAGACAAGCACAGGGCAUCAAACAAAGACAACGAACGAGGUUAGCCAGAAAUUAAAAGAAGAGCAGCAUAAGCUGCGAAAACUGUCUAAGAUCAGAGUUGGGAGUAGCUCACUGAUUUGAGAGCGCGCUCAGAGCUUUCCGCUCAGUGCUGAAAAGUGAGCGUAGCUCAGCUCUCGCUCGCAAAAAAAAAAAGUGAGCGCGCUCUCGCUCGCGCUCGCGCUCUUCGCUCACGUACAAAAAAUUCCAUAUGAAAUCUGUAUAUUUCCGUCUUCAUUUUGGCAUUACAACUGCAUUACAACUUACUUAGAAGAUGAAUCCUACGGGUUCUUACUGGAAUUCCCGGUUUUUUUCAAAAAAACUAAUUUGUCAAAAGUGCUGUCCUUUAACUGAC